rnacentral:rRNA from 1 species
GAUGAACGCUGGCGGCGUGCCUAAUACAUGCAAGUCGAGCGAACAGACGAGGAGCUUCUCCUCUGACGUUAGCGGCGGACGGGUGAGUAACACGUGGAUAACCUACCUAUAAGACUGGGAUAACUUCGGGCAACCGGAGCUAAUACCGGAUAAUAUAUUGAACCGCAUGGUUCAAUAGUGAAAGACGGUUUUGCUGUCACUUAUAGAUGGAUCCGCGCGGCAUUAGCUAGUUGGUAAGGUAACGGCUUACCAAGGCAACGAUGCGUAGCCGACCUGAGAGGGUGAUCGGCCACACUGGAACUGAGACACGGUCCAGACUCCUACGGGAGGCAGCAGUAGGGAAUCUUCCGCAAUGGGCGAAAGCCUGACGGAGCAACGCCGCGUGAGUGAUGACGGUCUUCGGAUCGUAAAACUCUGUUAUUAGGUAAGAACAAAUUUGUAAGUAACUAUGCACGUCUUGACGGUACCUAAUCAGAAAGCCACGGCUAACUACGUG